rnacentral:rRNA from 1 species
UAGAGUUUGAUCAUGGCUCAGGACGAACGCUGGCGGCGUGCCUAAUACAUGCAAGUCGAGCGGAACCUUUGGAGCUUGCUCCAUUGGUUUAGCGGCGGACGGGUGAGUAACACGUGGGCAACCUGCCCUGCAGAUCGGGAUAACUCCGGGAAACCGGUGCUAAUACCGAAUAGUUUGCGGCCUCUCCUGAGGCUGCACGGAAAGACGGUUUCGGCUGUCACUGCAGGAUGGGCCCGCGGCGCAUUAGCUAGUUGGUGGGGUAAUGGCCCACCAAGGCCACGAUGCGUAGCCGACCUGAGAGGGUGAUCGGCCACACUGGGACUGAGACACGGCCCAGACUCCUACGGGGGGCAGCA